rnacentral:lncRNA from 1 species
UUCGUUCUGCAAUGGAGUGGUUGGUGUUUUUAGUAGUUCUUGAUAUUGGAUUUCAGUCAUAAGCUACCAAAUGACUCCUCCCACUACAUUAUCAUGUUCCCUCAGUUUUGGACUCAAUCCGAGAUUGAUUGAUCCAUAAAAUUGGACAGUUCAGGUUCGUACGAAGUUCGUUCUGAAAUGGAGUGGUUGGCGCGUUGCAUAGUUUGAGAGGUUCGAUUUCAC